rnacentral:rRNA from 1 species
AUUGAACGCUGGCGGCAUGCUUUACACAUGCAAGUCGAACGGUAACAGGCCGCAAGGUGCUGACGAGUGGCGAACGGGUGAGUAAUGCAUCGGAACGUGCCCAGUCGUGGGGGAUAACGCAGCGAAAGCUGCGCUAAUACCGCAUACGAUCUAUGGAUGAAAGCGGGGGACCGUAAGGCCUCGCGCGAUUGGAGCGGCCGAUGUCCGAUUAGGUAGUUGGUGGGGUAAAGGCUCACCAAGCCCACGAUCUUUAGCUGGUCUGAGAGGACGACCAGCCACAAUGGCACGGAGAGACGGACCAGACUCCUACGGGAGGCAGCAGUGGGGAAUUUUGGACAAUAGGCGCAAGCCUGAUCCAGCCAUGCCGCGUGCAGGAUGAAGGCCUUCGGGUUGUAAACUGCUUUUGUACGGAACGAAAAGCCCUGGGUUAAUACCCUGGGGUCAUGACGGUACCGUAAGAAUAAGCACCGGCUAACUACGUGCCAGCCGCCGCCGUAACAC